ACGGCUCAGUAACACGUAGUCAAUCUACCCUAUGGACGGGGAUAACCUCGGGAAACUGAGGAUAAAGCCCGAUAGAUCAUAGUGCCUGGAACGGCUUAUGGUCCAAAUGAUUCGUCGCCGUAGGAUGGGACUGCGGCCUAUCAGCUUGUUGGUGAGGUAAUGGCCCACCAAGGCUAUUACAGGUACGGGCUCUGAGAGGAGAAGCCCGGAGAUGGGUACUGAGACACGGACCCAGGCCCUAUGGGGCGCAGCAGGCGAGAAACCUUUGCAAUGUGCGCAAGCACGACAGGGUUAAUCCGAGUGUUUCCUGCUAAAGGAAUCUUUUGUUAGUUCUAAAACCACUGAUGAAUAAGGGGUGGGCAAGUUCUGGUGUCAAGCCGCCGCGGUAAAACCAGCACCUCAAGUGGUCAGGAGGAUUAUUGGGCCUAAAGCAUCCGUAGCCUGUUCUAUAAGUUUCCGGUUAAAUCCAUUAGCUUAACUAAUGGGCUGCCGAAAAUACUGUAGAACUAGGGAGUGGGAGAGGUAGACGGUACUCGGUAGGAAGGGGUAAAAUCCUUUGAUCUAUUGAUGACCACCUGUGGCGAAGGCGGUCUACCAGAACACGUUCGACGGUGAGGGAUGAAAGCUGGGGGAGCAAACCGGAUUAGAUACCCGGGUAGUCCCAGCUGUAAACGAUGCAGACUCGGUGAUGCGCUGGCUUGUGGCCAGUGCAGUGCCGCAGGGAAGCCGUUAAGUUUGCCGCCUGGGAAGUACGUACGCAAGUAUGAAACUUAAAGGAAUUGGCGGGGGAGCAC
rnacentral:rRNA from 1 species